rnacentral:rRNA from 1 species
GACGAACGCUGGCGGCGUGCUUAACACAUGCAAGUCGAACGGAAAGGCCCUGCUUUUGUGGGGUGCUCGAGUGGCGAAGGGGUGUGUAACACGUGUGUAACCUGCCCCUGACUUUGGGAUAACUUCAGGGAACUGGGGCUAAUACCGGAUAGGAGCUCCUGCUGCAUGGUGGGGGUUGGAAAGUUUCGGCGGUUGGGGAUGGACUCGAGGCUUACCAGCUUGUUGGGGGAGUAGUGGCUUACCAAGGCUUUGACGGGUAGCCUGCCUGAGAGCGUUACCAGGCUCAUUAGGCCUGAGAUACGGAGCAGAAGCCUACGGUCGGCAACGGUGGGAAGUAUUGCGCAAUGAGGGGGAGCCUGAUGCAAAAACGCCCCGAGCGGAAUGCCGGGCUUCGGGUUGUGAACCAAUGUCGACGGUGCCGAGGAGUGAGUGACGGUAAUGAGUAAGAAAGCACCGGCUAACUACGUG